GCAGCUGGUGGGAGGGAGAGCAGGUAGUGCUACUACCCCGUCUCCUGCAGGAGCCCCCACCUCACCCACAGAGGGAGUUGGCAAAGGCCAGAAACACCUCAGGCUGGAGAGUGCGUGACACGGGAUGAACACCAGGAUCCUGACAGGUUGUGUGCAGACCAAACAGACCAGGCCAAACAGACCAGCCCAGGCCAACAUGAGACCAGCUCAGAAGAGACCAGACCAGCAAACCCUCCCUGGGUAUGAGAAACACAUGGAGACAUGGACAAAAAUGUGCCCAAGCAAACCAAGGAAUGACGUGAAGGGGGUGUCAGUGUAGGCCAUUCCUUUCCCCCAAAUGCUUGGCUAUAAACACCCUGCCACUCCUUUUACCUUUGCGCUGAAGGAGAAAGUAAUGGAGACAGCAGGGGCUGUGGGGCAGACAGGGCUGGUGUGAGCCCGCCUGCACAGCCUGGGCCCUGGGCAGGACCACACUCCCUGCAGGUUCCACGUGCAGCUUUCUUGAAUGGAUACAAUCACACCUGGGCAGGCACAGGUUUCAGACAGUAACUGGCACACAGCAGGUACCCACUGAAUGUCAGUUGCUACUGCUAAAAACACAGCAAUGCUGAUUUUUAAGAAAAAGUGAGGCAGAGUCCAGACAUGGUCCCAAGGCAGGUUACGAACAGUGUGGUGGGGCCUGCAGUGAGCACCUGGGUUGUGGUGUGGCCACAGAUGGGACAGCAGGGCAGCGUGAGGCCCUGACGACAGAUCUAGACAGCCAGCGAUUUUCAUUGCUUUUUAACAGGUUCUAGAGAAGAGGUUUAUGGAAGGGGAGGAUUUUUCAAAGCAUUCAUCAAUGCUUUCCAUAAACCAUCUGGUCCAAUCUCCUGGUGCCACAGCAAAGCUGCUGUCCCUGAACCCGUGGCCCAUCAGGGGUGCCCAGCCUGGGGGACAGAGUGCCAGCCCUCUGGCAUCCCUGCACUGCUGCCCUGACACCAUGUGCUGGGCCCUGGGUGUCCUCUCUCCAGGCUGCUCCGUGUGCAUCUCCCUCACCCGGAAGUGGCCACUGCUGUGGAUGGUGAUGGGCACACAGAGGGAAAGUGGAGGGGGCUGAAGCGAAGGUAUCAGGACGCAGCUGUGGGUUUCUCUAAGUCCUGUGGCCAGAGACAGAACGGGGAUCAUUCCUGGGAAUCCUUGGCCAGUUCAUCUCAACACAGGAAUCUCAUCGAAUGAUACUCCCAGGAUGCAGCUGGGCACUGUGUGCUUCAAGACCAGGGAUCUACCUCUGUGCAGAAAUCAGGGUUGUGAUGCCCGGCGUGGUGGCUCAUGCCUGUAAUCCCAGCACUUUGGGAGGCCAAGGCAGGAGGAUCAUCUGAGGUCAGUUCAAAACCAGCCUGGCCAACAUGGCAAAAUCCCAUCUCUACUAAAACCACAAAAAUUAGCCAAGCGUGGUGGCACACGCCUGUAAUCCCAGCUACUUAGGAGGCUGAGGCAAGAGCAUCGCUUGAACCAAGGAGGUGGAGGUUGCUGUGAGCUGAGACUGCACCACUGCACUGUCUAGCAACAGAGCAAGACUCCGUCUCAAAAAAAAAAAAUUAGGGUUAUUGGUGUCCACAGGUGGCAGGUGGCUGGGUAGGGACACAGGGGCAGGGGUUCUGUUGAUGAAAGCCCAUCCAUCUGCCCCCUUCAGAUUUGGGGACUUUUCUGCGUGUGAUUUUUAGUUCCAUAAGCAGUCUUUAAAACCGGGAAGGAAGCAUCUUGUGUGAAAUGCUUCUCGUGACUGUGUCUAAGUGGGAGAGUAAUGGCAUUAGUUUUUUUCCAGCUUUUUUCCCGCUUUAUGAUGAACAGCCUUACUUGGUGACCAGGAAACAGAAGUCACCACGAACAAUGCUGCUGGCAGAAACCAAGCAGGACCCAUGUCCUGGAACGACACCCAGCUCGCCUGGGACGUCUGCUGUUUCUAUCCAGGCAGCCAUAGGCCAGAUGGUCACCAAGAGAUGGAGAAACGAAACGCAGCCAGCCAUGCAACAGAGUAUCACAGAGCCAUAGAAAGGAAUGAACGCAGUGCGCAGGAAACCGCGAGGCAGGAAGCAGAUCACUGGAUGUCGGGGCUCGGGGUGGGGGAAAGGGGAGUGGCUGCUACUGGGGACUGGGUCUCCUCCGGGAAAGAUGAGAUGUUCUGGAACUAGACAGAGGUGGAGACUGCACAAUAUUGUGAAUGUACUAAAUGUUACCAAACUGGA